UGCUGAAGGGAUGGCUCAGUUGGUAGAGCGUGAGGCUCUUCAUCUUGGGGUUGUGGGGUUUGAGCCCCACUUUGGUGG